GAGAACCCUAUCACUUGAAGGAAGUGGGCAUGACCUUUGGAGAGCAUAUCAAGCAUCCAGCAAGGAGCCAAGCUUAUCUUCUCCAGAGCCCAGAGCUGUUGAAUUUGGAAUUGACUGGACUGUGGAGACUUUUGAAAGUUUUUGCCACCAGGAGGUGGGCACCUAAGCCCUGGACUGAAUUUAAGAGAGUUACUGAACAAGAGAGAGCAUGUCUGUAACAGUACUGAGGUAUCCUUAGGUCUUAAAAGACUAGGAAUCUGUGCUGUGGAAAGAGCAGAGUGUACUUUGGGAGAGAGCCAAGGACCAUCUCAGGGUGAGAACCAAGCCUCUGGAAAAGCUGUAAAGGGAGAAGAGGAAAAUUGUAAUAGCCAAUACUUUUAAUUUUAUGUGCUUGAAAGACACUUUCGUUCUUUUAAAUUACUGAAAUUAAAGAAAGAGAUUUCUUUUUUAUCUGAAUUUAGGUAAGCUCAAAAUAGUUGCAACUAACUAAGGUCUAGAAUAUGUUCCAGAAUCUGAGUUGAUUCUGUGGAGUUGGGAGACUUUUCUUGUCCAAGAAAAGAUGAGUCCCACAGAUUUAGCAGAUAUGUCAGGGAGAUCACUGGACUUGGAACAUCCUCCACCCAGACCAUUCUGAGACAAUUAUUUGUAUUUCUUAAACAGCAGUGACUCCCUUUAAUACCUGGGUAACUGAAGGAACAAUUUCAUGUCUGCACUAUGUCCUGUCCUGUGGAAGAGCUGUGGCAUAAGUGAAACAGACAGCAAAGGAUCAGCAGAGCCUGGAGAAUCCUCCUGAGAAGCCGCAGUUCUGACUUCCAGUGUCUCCUGUGCACUAAGGCCAGUCCUUACAAAUUAAAUAUUAAGAAUAUUAACAAUGGGUCUUUAAUUUGUAACAUACUGACAUGCAGCCAAUAUUUUCUCCCAAGAAUUAAAGGUACUGACAGAAAGAAAGAAAUCAUUAGCUAGGAAGAGUAAGAGAGACACACCACAAAAA